CUGCUGUGAGCCACGCCUUCCGUUUGCUAAGUACUGAGGCUAAAAGACUUGAGUUUUUAACCUGCAAACAUUUUUCUGAAUUGAUCGAUUACUUUUCCAGUCUAGAACACGACGGCGAAAAGGCCAAUAUACUUUUUUUUUCUAGAGCUUAUUGUUGCCAAACAGCCUGAACCUCAUUCAGCUCAAUUUGCCAUGAGAGCCUGCGACCCAUGGAUCCUGGCUGUCAGCAGGUGGGGCUGCUCCUGGUAACUGUGAGGAACAACCAGCGGCCUGGACAACAGAGUGCUUUGGAACAACAGAGCUGAGGAGAAAGGACAACAUGUCACAUUUACAGCUAACAUGGAAUCAGCUGUAUUCAGCUCACACUUAACCACAUUUAAUUCAUAUAAAAACUCAACCUGACGAUCGCCGCCAUGAUGAUACUCCAACCAAGGUCACCACGGUUACCCGGAUGUAGUUGACGUGUCGUCAGCGGGACAAAGAUGUUCAGUGUGAGAGAUCACAGCCGCUACAACUUUUGCCUACUCUCUGGCUGCGUGACAGAAACAUGGGCGUCUCCUGGCCUGGGCAUCCGGGGCUGAGGCCAAACCUGGGGGGAUGAAACGUCUACAACACCUGAAUGAUAGAAAACACAACUAAAUUAAAUUUAUGUACAAAGUUUUCCACCAGGCCUCAUAUUAAGACUCACGUUCAUAUUUUGAUCCCUUCCACUUCCCAGUGAAAUCCUGCAUAUCUGUAUUAGAAACAUUGUUGUAAGCAGCUCAAAAAUAUUUAUUUGUAUUAAAAGAAUAUGAAUGACACCAAUCCUGUACUUUUGCUAAACCUUGAUGGUUUAUAUUACGUCGUAAAUGUGUCGCAGUUGUAAUCAAGAGUGUAAAUAAGUUACAAAAUGAAAGCUGUAUAAAAUAUCAUAAUGUGAACCACUUUCACCAUAAAAUUCAUAUAACAAUUCAAGCAAAAAGUCCUGUUUCACUUCAGAUUGAUAGUAUACCAACUCACUAAUGCACCUUUCAAAUACUAAGUAUUCUAACUAAUUAUAAAUACCACCAGUAAGGAGAAGAGCUUUAUAUAGUGUGUACAAGAUGUAUUCAUGUAUUCCAAAAUAGUGAGAGUGGUUUUGAAAUUGAAUCACACUGAUUAUGGCUCGUGGGAUUAUUGUAUUUCUUGAUAUUGACUGUUUGUAUUAAGCUUUGUCAU